rnacentral:rRNA from 1 species
AAAUAAGUUAAAACUUUCAACAACGGAUCUCUUGGUUCUGGCAUCGAUGAAGAACGCAGCGAAAUGCGAUAAGUAAUGUGAAUUGCAGAAUUCAGUGAAUCAUCGAAUCUUUGAACGCACAUUGCGCCCUCUGGUAUUCCAGAGGGCAUGCCUGUUCG